AUUGAACGCUGGCGGCAUGCUUUACACAUGCAAGUCGAACGGCAGCGCGGGCUUCGGCCUGGCGGCGAGUGGCGAACGGGUGAGUAAUACAUCGGAACGUGCCCAGUAGUGGGGGAUAGCUCGGCGAAAGCCGGAUUAAUACCGCAUACGACCUGAGGGUGAAAGCGGGGGAUCUUCGGACCUCGCGCUAUUGGAGCGGCCGAUGGCAGAUUAGCUAGUUGGUGGGGUAAAGGCCUACCAAGGCGACGAUCUGUAGCUGGUCUGAGAGGACGACCAGCCACACUGGGACUGAGACACGGCCCAGACUCCUACGGGAGGCAGCAGUGGGGAAUUUUGGACAAUGGGCGAAAGCCUGAUCCAGCAAUGCCGCGUGUGUGAUGAAGGCCUUCGGGUUGUAAAGCACUUUUGACGGGAACGAAAAGGACUGUGCCAAUACCACGGUUCGAUGACGGUACCCGCAGAAUAAGCACCGGCUAACUACGUG
rnacentral:rRNA from 1 species